UGUUUUGAUUUGUUUUCAAUUACCUUCGCUGCGUGCCACAGAAUGGAAGGGGGCUCGAUCUACCGUCUUGGGGCACUAAGGGGCUGAAGUUUUUGAAAUAUACGGCAAUGUUUUGCUGAUGCCUUGAAUCAAGCUUUUGACUGAGACCCACGAUUUCUUUCUUAUUUUGAGUUUAACACUUUCCUGCAGUUGUUUCCACAAGUUAAACUCUGAGGAUUGUAAUGUAAAUCUAGUAAGUCUAUCAGUCUUACCCUUUCCCUAGUCUCUAAUUCUUUCAUUACCUACUUGUGCUGCUUACAUAUCGUAUAAUUCAAUGGUUAAAAUGUUAUUAAUGGAUCUUAGUUUUCUAGAUUUGUAUAUAGCAGUAGAGGGUGAACUUGAUUUGGUUUGUUAUAAUAUUCCAUCAUGUUAAAUCCCUUUGGGCUUGAAGCUAUUCAUUUCAGAGUGCUUAAUUUUGAUAUAA